UACGUAGGGUGCGGGCGUUAAUCGGAAUUACUGGGCGUAAAGCGUGCGCAGGCGGUCUGUUAAGACCGAUGUGAAAUCCCCGGGCUUAACCUGGGAACUGCAUUGGUGACUGGCAGGCUUUGAGUGUGGCAGAGGGGGGUAGAAUUCCACGUGUAGCAGUGAAAUGCGUAGAGAUGUGGAGGAAUACCGAUGGCGAAGGCAGCCCCCUGGGCCAACACUGACGCUCAUGCACGAAAGCGUGGGGAGCAAACAGG
rnacentral:rRNA from 1 species